rnacentral:snoRNA from 1 species
UCCCAAUGAAGAAACAUACACAUGUCUUACUUCCUGUCCCAGUGCCAGAGCUUGAAAAGGUGAACCUACUGGGACUGGCUGGGGGAGAAGAGGAAAAUUUGUUCCAGAAUGAACUGUCUGAGGGAU